rnacentral:rRNA from 1 species
AACGAACGCUGGCGGCAGGCUUAACACACGCAAGUCGAGCGCCCCGCAAGGGGAGCGGCAGACGGGUGAGUAACGCGUGGGAAUCUACCCAUCUCUACGGAAUAACGCAUGGAAACGUGUGCUAAUAUCGUAUACGUCCUUCGGGAGAAAGAUUUAUCGGAGAUGGAUGAGCCCGCGUUGGAUUAGCUAGUUGGUGGGGUAAAGGCCUACCAAGGCGACGAUCCAUAGCUGGUCUGAGAGGAUGAUCAGCCACACUGGGACUGAGACACGGCCCAGACUCCUACGGGAGGCAGCAGUGGGGAAUAUUGGACAAUGGGCGCAAGCCUGAUCCAGCCAUGCCGCGUGAGUGAUGAAGGCCCUAGGGUUGUAAAGCUCUUUCACCGGUGAAGAUAAUGACGGUAACCGGAGAAGAAGCCCCGGCUAACUUCGUGCCAGCAGCCGCCGCGGUAA